rnacentral:rRNA from 1 species
GACGAAUGCUGGCGGCGUGCUUAACACAUGCAAGUCGAACGGAAAGGCCCUGCUUUUGUGGGGUGCUCGAGUGGCGAACGGGUGAGUAACACGUGAGUAACCUGCCCUUGACUUUGGGAUAACUUCAGGAAACUGGGGCUAAUACCGGAUAGGAGCUCCUGCUGCAUGGUGGGGGUUGGAAAGUUUCGGCGGUUGGGGAUGGACUCGCGGCUUAUCAGCUUGUGGUGGGGUAGUGGCUUACCAAGGCUUUGACGGGUAGCCGGCCUGAGAGGGUGACCGGCCACAUUGGGACUGAGAUACGGCCCAGACUCCUACGGGAGGCAGCAGUGGGGAAUAUUGCACAAUGGGCGGAAGCCUGAUGCAGCAACGCCGCGUGCGGGAUGACGGCCUUCGGGUUGUAAACCGCUUUCGCCUGUGACGAAGCGUGAGUGACGGUAAUGGGUAAAGAAGCACCGGCUAACUACGUG